GACGAACCGUGCGAACGUUGUUCGGAAUCACUGGGCUUAAAGGGCGCGUAGGCGGCUCCGCCAGUCGGGGGUGAAAUCCCACGGCCUAACCGUGGAAGGGCCUCCGAUACUGCGGGGCUGGAGGGAGGUAGGGGCAGCGGGAACUUCGGGUGGAGCGGUGAAAUGCGUUGAUAUCCGAAGGAACGCCGGUGGCGAAAGCGCGCUGCUGGACCUCUUCUGACGUUGAGGCGCGAAAGCCAGGGGAGCAAACGGG
rnacentral:rRNA from 1 species